ACGGUCCAGACUCCUACGGGAGGCAGCAGUAGGGAAUAUUGCGCAAUGGGCGAUGAGCCUGACGCAGCGACGCCGCGUGAACGAUGAAGGCCUUCGGGUCGUAAAGUUCCGUCAGCAGGGAAGAAGGCAAGAUAGGUGAAUGAUCUAUAGUGCUUGACGGUACCUGCAGAGGAAGCCCCGGCUAAUUACGUGCCAGCAGCCGCGGUAA
rnacentral:rRNA from 1 species